rnacentral:tRNA from 1 species
CCUGUGGCUCAGUGGGUAGGGCACUGGCCCCAUAUGCCGGAGGUGGUGGGUUCAAACCCAACCCAGG